AACUGCCUCUUGUUUGGUGGAGAGAUUGGCAUUAGAAUUGUGAUGCACCUUUCAUAACCUACCCUCCUGGGCUUGCAUAAUUUUUUAAAUUUUCAAAUCCUUGGACAUUUUUAUAUGGCCUUUGAUAAACUUAAUAGCUAAUGAGGUAUGAAUUCUUUGCUUAAACUUUGGCUUUCUCCACGUCAAGUGUAUUUGAGAGGUUAGCAUUGAACUGUAGGUGGUUCAUUUCUUAAUUCUUAUGGUGUUUAGCUUAUGAAGGACUUACUGUAGGGGAAUGAAUGUGCCAUCUAUUUUUUUCAAAUCCCGAAUGCGUAGCUUGUGAUCAGCAUGAGACCUUAAAGCAUCUUUACAGAACUUUUUGUCAAGCCCAAAGUUUCUGGAAAUGAAUUCAUAGUCUCUUUUCUCCGUAUCAUCUGGAGUCCAUAACCUGGCACAGUCGAAGAAGGUGACGUUGGAGUUUGAACAACCUCAUGAUUUGCUCAACCACUGAGGUAGUACACCUUGCACAAUGAGCUGUGUGCUCCUUGAGUUUACUGCCACUUGCUCUUUGCUGGAGUUUGCAUAGAGGAGGCUUCAGCAGUGGCAUAACCUUGUCACAAGCAUCUACACUUAGCAGGCUUUUUCCUUUCUUGCCAACGAGGAGGGUAGACUCUGGUGUCCCUUCAUGGGAAGACCUUCACUGCUACUCUUUCUUGGGGGAUCUCUCUUGCACGUAGUGUGGCAGGUUUUGGUGAGCUUGCUCCUCUAUCUGGUUUAGGCAUCCUGGCCACCUCGGCUCUUACUAACAUGACCCCAAAAGAUGGGUGGGAGGCACUGGAUCCUCCCUUUGAGGAGCCUUUUGCAUUGGUGUCUCUCUUAGUGAAGUAUGGUCCUUCUCCAUUUGGUGUGGAGGCGUGUGGUUAAUUCUCCUUUUCUGCUUUUUAGUGAAGUGGCCUCGUUUAAGCCUCGAUAUUUGAUACUUGUUUUAUUUUGGUUGCCAUCAUAGGUGGGCCAAGCAUACCUACCGGCUAUGCGUUGAUUGUAAAAUCACCACCGUACUUUAUGUUUUUAUAUUUUGUUUAAUUAAAUAUCAUGAUGGCUUUUCCAAUAAAAAAUGCCAGAAUUUAGUUAGUA